UAAGUACUUCCAGGGAUGAAGCAUCCACAACUCUGAGCAUCCUAAUUCAGUGUCUCACUAUUGUCUGAGUAAAGAUUUUCCUCCUAACAUUUAAUCUAAAUCUCACCUUGUUUAGUUUAAAACCAUUUCUCCUUGUUCUGUUGCUAUCAGACUGUGUAAAAAGUUGGUUUCCCUCCCUCCUUUUAAGUGCUGGAAGGCCACAAUGAGGUCUCCCCAGAGCUUUCUCCUCUCGAGGCUGAACAAACUCAACUCCUUCAAACUUUCUUCAUAAGAGAGAUGUGCCAGCCCUCUGAUCUUCUUCAUGGCCCUCCUUUGGGCCCACUUCAUCAGCUCCAUAUCUUGUACCCCGUGCCCCAGACCUGGAUACUGUACUCCACAUGGAUACAGGUACAGGUGGAGGAGAAUAAUCACCUUCCUGACCUUACUGGCUAUUCCUCUCUUAAUGUUGGAUACAGUUGGCCUUUUAGGCUGUAAGUGCACACUGGUGGCUAAUGUCCAACUUUUUGUCCACCAGGACUCCCAAGUCUUUUUCUAAAGGACUGCUCUCAAUGUAUUUUUCUUCCAGUCUGUACAUAUAUCUGGAAUUGCUAUGACACGUGUGCAACACUGUGCUUGGUCUUCUUGAGCCUCAUUAUGUUUCAGUGGGCUCACUUUUCAAACUUGUCCAGUUCCUUUUGGAUGGCAAUGACUUCCUUCUACUGCAUCAACUGUACCACUCAGCUUAAUGUCACCAGCAAAUUUCUGAGAGUGCACUUGAUCCCGCAAUCUGUGUCGUAGGUACACCAUCACUGGUGUACUGAUGGACAGUCAGCUGAAUAUGAACCAGCAGUGUGCCCAGGUGGCCAAGAAGGCCAACAGCAUCCUGGCUUGUAUCAGGAAUGAUGUGGUGAGCAGAACUAGGGAAGUAAACCAGCCCCUGUACUUGGCACUGAUGAAGCAUUGGUGAGGUAGUGGUGAGGCCUCAGCUUGAGUACUGUGCUCAGUUUUGGGUACCUCAGUGCAGAAGGGACACUGAGGUGCUGCAGCAGAUCCAAAGAAGGGCAACAAGGCUUGUGAAAGGCUUGUAGAAUAUGCCCUAUGAGGAGAGACUGAAGGAAAUGGAGCUGUUUAGUCUGGGGAAAAGGAGGCUGAGGGGAGACUUUAUUGCUCUUCGAAUAUCUGAAAAGUGCUUACAGCAAGAGUGGGAUUGGUCUCUUCUCCCUGGUGACAAGUGGCAAGACAAGAAGAAAUGGCCUGAAGUUGUGCCAGGGUAAGUUUAGGUUGGAUAAAAGGAAACAUUUCUUUACAGAAAGGGUUGUUAAACACUGGAAUAGGUUCCCCAGGGAGGUGAUUGAGUCACCAUCCCUGGAUGUGUUUAAAAACUGUUUGGAUGUGGUGCUCAGGGACAUGAUUCAGUGGAGGGCUGUUAGGGUUAGGGUAGUAUGGUUAGGACUCGAUGAUCUUUAAGGUCUUUUCCAACCUGAGUGAUUCUAUGAUUCUGUGAUUCUGUGAUUCUGUGAUAAAGAUGUUGAAGAGCACUGGGCCCAAAACGAACCCCUGGGGAGCACCACUCCUCAUUGGUCCACCUGAGUAUAGAGCUGUUGAACACUGAAAAUAUAUUGAUCUAUUGUUAUUCCCAUCUGUGUUCUUAAGUUAAGACCUAGCUUCUUUCAGUUUUAACAGACACUUGUCCAUUAAUGACAAGAAGAAAUAUUGUUUGAGGUAGUAAUCAGCAAGAUAACUGGCAUAAAAGGUUGGUAGAAAUAGGAAAAAUAGAAAAGAAGAUAAAGCAGGUGACUUUAGAUCAAGGCAUAAGUUAAGGAAAGUACUGACAUAUGACAAUUGUCUUGCCUUUCCUAAAGCUUAUACUAUUCUAUUUCUGCAGCAUACAUCCUGAGAGAAUCCGACAUUGUCAGAAGGGUUAAGGAAAAUCAAACUCCACAUGAACGUUUUAAUUCUUGAGAUAGAGCUAAAACCUAGUAUAGUUAUCAGAUCGUUCAAAAAUGAAGGACGUGGCCAGAUAUAUAUGAGUGUAUGUGUAUUUAUUUGUGUAUUUCUGUCUCUCUAUAUAUGUGUAUAUGUAUAGCCACCAUAGCUGCACUAUAACCCCUCAUUUCAUAAAUUGACAUCUCUAAAUCUGAAGUUGAGCUACAAAUACAUUUUCUUAAUGAAAUUUUUGUGGCCUAAUUUUAUGAAUGUACUUUAAUUUCAGUAACAAAACCUGAAAUAUAUCAACUGUGCAAAAAAGUAGCAUUUGGCCAACUUAUCAGUCACUACUAAUUAGCCAAUUACAACAGCUAUAAUGGAAGUUCUUAAUCAAAGCUCUAGAACUAGAAUUCCCUCUUUAGCUCUUCCAAAAUGAUAUUGCAAUGCCACUGAAGAUGAGAUCAAUUUAAAAUUAGCAGAGAAUGCUUGUAUAGAAGUAUUUUGGAAUGUUGCUUAUUUAUUUUUGUAAUCUAUAAUGAAUAUAUAAGUUCAGUUGCAGCAGAAUUUCUCCUAAUUUAGUUUAGUCAGUAUUUACAUAGAAACAUCUUUGAGCAGAUGUAGUCAACAGCAGAAAGUCAUUAAUUUAAUAGAUUUAACCAUCGUAUUUCAAACUAGUGGAUGAAAGGUGAGCAAAAGACCAUGCUUACAGUCUGAGAUGGAAGCAUCUUAUAUGCCUGUGUUGAGACAGUGAAUGUUCUACAGAAAUGGAGAAAACACUCUAUCCAUUCUUUCCUGCCUGAGCUGUGUCAUUUCUGUCACGAUUAUGCUGUAAUUAUUUUGUGGAGUUUCUGCUUAGCACUCUCCCAGAGUUUAACAAAUUAGGAAACAUGCCACUUAACUAAAAAACGUUACCUACCAACAAUCAUGAAAUCUCCUUUCUUUGUCUCUUUUCAAUAUGCUUAAUGAAGCUACUAGGCUGUGAAAAAUUUCCAAAAAUCCUUCUGUUUAUUAUGUAAUUAGGAUAGGUAAUAAUCACUUUCACCAUGCCAGCACAACUUACGUUGAGUGACAUCAAGACCCCAUCUAGGUUUCAGAAGUCUACAUCUUUUCCUCAGCCUUUUUAAUUGUCUGCUCUGUAGCUUGUUAUCUCAAUCCUACCAAAAAUGAAUGAUCAUAGAUAUAUUGUCAAAAUAUGCAUUGAAAUGCAAUAACAUAAAGUCAGCCAUCUAAUUCCAUGCUUAACAUACAUUGGUGUUGUAUAAAUUCUGUGUAACACACAUUAUCCUGAGGCAAUUCAUUUAUCUUUUUCUCUUCUAGUUAUACAAGAAAAAAUAAUAGCACCUUAGAGAUAAUUUAAGACUGAGGCCAGUGUUUUGAUUUAAAUUGCAUUAGAGAAGCAUUAUAUUCCUCGCCAGAUUAAAACUCUUGAGACAUAAAGAGUAAAAGUCAGGACACAAGUUUUCACUAGCCUCUGUGAGGUGUUACUUUGUUGUUGUUUUUCUGUUGUUUUAUUUUUCUUCUUCCUGUGUCUUAUGAAUAUCACCUUCUCCUUUUAAAAUACAGCGAGAUAAAUUUUGUUUUUCCAUAUUUCCAUUUUCUAGUUUUUUUUAUGUUUGGUCUGUUCUUCAAACAGUGUUUUAGAAUUAGCAGAGUUUUUUGAAGUCUUGCUCUCCGCAUGAUGGAAUGCUCCUCUCCAAGAACUAAAAAAAAAAAAGUGCUAUGGUGGAACAGAGGCUGCUUUACACCUGCUGGGGGCACUGCAAUACAAAGAAAAGGAGCAACGAAUGCUGAAGAUCUUUCACCUUAGAAGCUGACAAAAAAAACCUGCAACUUUCAGCAAAAAUAAGGUAAGAUUAUCAGAAUUGAGAGCUGUCACUGGGAGGAAAAAGAUGAUUAAAUGGAUUCACUAACCACUCAAAAGGAAAAGGCUAUCCAGGUUCCACAAGUAUAGUAGUAUAGCUAUAGUGCUAUCUGCAUGAUUGACAGUAGUUCCAUGCAAUUGCAUGUUAUUUUACUUCCUUUUACUCCUAAAAAUACAUUCUCUGUACUUUUCUCCCAUUACUAGUCAAAUUAUAAUGACUUAUAAAGUCUAGUUGUGGUGUGAUUUCUGAUAACAGGGUGUUAUUCUUGCAAAAUGGAUUCAGUCUUCUUUGCAAAUUUGUUUGCAUCCAGUUAUGCCAUUUGGAAAAUGGAAGACUUACUUUGAUAGUACAAUAAUCACAGAUUAGAGGCUUGGCUGAAGAGAGGUCAUUGUAUUUCCAGGAUUUAUCAGUAAACUGCUUAUAAGUGCUAUUGGUUUGCUGACUGCUUCUUUGCAGUCUUAAAGCAAGGAUUUGACAUCACGCUCCUGAUAUUCUGUGCUUUAUGAUAAAUUCUUUGCAUUGCAAUAACCAUUUUGUACUCGCAUCAGGUACCUAUCUCUAGUUUUUUCAAAAGUGUAUGACAUGCCAUUAGAAUUUACUAACUAUAUUUUUCCUGCAUUAGUGUUUCAAUAACACUUUCUUUGCAUUGUGGAGAAAAAAACAAGAUUUUUUUUACUAUUUUCUUCUCCUUCGACAACAACAAUAAAAUAAUAUUGGCACUAUAUUGCUUUUAGAAAUGGCAUAAUACUCUGGUUUCAUAAUAUCCCUACAACAAGGAAAAUAGAUUAUCCACACUAAUAUAUGGACAUUAUCUUUUUCAGAUUUGCACUUAUUUAAAAAAAUUUCAUAAUGCUCUUAAGUUUCCAAUUUUUAAGUCACUUGUGGAGUUUUCUUACAGAGGUUGUACAUACAUGUGUUAAGUACGUCUUCACUUAGUCAUUCAUAAUCUGGUAAUAGCCAUUUAGUUUGAAAGCAGAAUUAUCUUUUAUGCUUAACAGAGCAACUGGUAUGUUUCAUAUUUGUAAAAGCUACAAUGAUCAAAGUAGUACUCUUUCUGAAGUACUAUUUCCAAAAUGAGAAAACUGAGGAAGGAUAAGAUCUUGAUAGCAUUCACGAAAUGAAAGGUAACCAAACAGAGAAUGGUAUGAAACAGCUUAAUUCUUAAUUAGUUAAAGAUUUGCUUACUUCAUCUGGACAUCACUUCUCAUUGUUGUAAUAAUGCUUAUGCUUAGAAGGACACAGAUACUGGUAAGUUUCUAAGAUGACAGAGAGAAGAGUCAUCACCUCUUGACACAUAUUUGUUAUAGUUUCUCUUUCAGACUAGGAGGUGUUAAAGGUCAGGGCUUUGGCAUUCAGGCUGAAUCUCAAGAAUUUGUACUUUAAGUCUUGGCUUAAAAUACAUUUUCCACAUUUACCACAAUUUGAAGCUAUUUAUGAGUGUUACAUGACAAUCAUUUCUUUGUUCAUAGAGAGGUUACAAGAUAACACAGAAUUUUGUGGACAAUGGGAUGGAACAGAAGAUUAAAAAUAAUAGUAAAAUAAUAUUUUCAUUAAGUAUUUCCAUUUUUAUCCUUUUUAAGGCCUCCAGCUCACCUCUUCCCCUUCUGUAACAAACAGCUGACAAAAGCACACUAAAGAACAGUGCAGUGAAAUGAAGAUAGAAAAUACGAAUCGUAUUAAUAAUAGCUUUUGCUUAUAAUUGUAGUCACUUAAUAUAUUUCUGAAACUACUGCACAAUGACAUUUCUUUAAAAGAUAUACAGUUCAGAAAAAAUUAUUGGAUCAACCAGUUACAGAGUAAUUCUUUUAUUAUUUAAUGUAAGAGGAAUCUGAAAGCUCACAUUAGAAAAUCAUAUUGUAAUGACAGGGUCAGCUACAAAAUGUCUAUUAUCUUGAUGUAGAGCUAAAUAUGUGCAUUUCUUGCCCUCAUCUUACAAGUUCAAAUACAGUUAUGAAUGUAAUUUUCCAGUACAAAGUAUAUUAUUAUCCCUAGAUGUUAAUCUAUCAUGAUCUGUACCUAGAACAGUGAUUUUAGAAGACAAAACUCAGUUCAAUUUUUAAACCUUGUGUUUACUAGUCAGCUAUAAAAAAUCCUUAAUACUGCCAUGCUUUCAGAUCAGUGUAUUCAGUCCCACCCCACAGAAAGACCUUAUCCUUUAGAAAAAACACCUUUUCUCAGUCAAACUUGAGUUGUGGAUUUCACUGUUGUUAUUUCAAACAUAUUAUUUUGUAAUUUCUUACUAUAUCAAUUUCUAUGGAACCCAACAUUAGAACAGCAGAACACUGAUUUUCUGUAGUGUUUGUUAUAUGGCAGUUCAAGUAACUACUGUACCUUGACACUAGUCCCACAAACUAUUUAGAUCCUUAGAUCUGCCAUUCUUCUACUUGCAGCCUUCAUUCCUGAGGUGGGGAUUUAAUAACUCCUAUUUCUUUAUUUCAUUUUUUUUCUGAGAAUUCAAAGCAGACAAAGUUGGCAAAGGGACUCUGUUUGCCUUCAACAAAUCAAAAUACUGAGUCCCUUGUUACAUUGGACUGCAUGAAGUGAUGGCACAAGCCAAACUACACCGCUCUGUCUCCAUUUCAUAUUACAAAACUGUCUAGCAACUUGGCUGAAAGCAAAGAACAUUUUUUAUAAAGAACAUUUAAAAUAUACAGAACAUUUUAACCAAAAAUCUUGAUGUUACUUUUGUAAGCUGACAACAGAAGAGGUUUUCAGUAUGUAAUAAAACUUGGAGGAUCAAAGAAUCACAGAAUCACAGAACAUAGGAGGGAGUUAAAGAAACCUCUGGGGAUCAUCUGGUCCCACCCUCUGUUAAAGCAGGUUCCCUACAGCCGGUUGCACAGGAAAGCAUUGAUGUGGGUUUUGAAUAUGUCCAGAAAAAGAGACCUCACAAUCUCUCUGGGCAGUCAUUUUCUGUGAUCUGUCACCCUCACAAUAAAGAAAUUCCUUCUCAUAUUUGUAUGGAACUUCCUGUAUUCCAGUUUUUUCUCACUGCACAUUAUCCUGUUGCUUCCCACCACUGAAAAGAGCCUGGGCCUAUCCAUUUGACUCCCAUACUUAAGGUAUUUAUAAACAGUGAUGAGAUCCCCAUUCAGUUUUCUCUUCUCCUGGCUGAUCAGUCCCAGAUCUCUCAACCUUUUCUCAUACAGGAGAUGCUCCAUGCCCCAGGAUCACACGUGCUCUUGACAAAAAUGGAAAUUCCUUCUUCCUAGUCAGGAAGUAGAUAAUGUAAGGAACUCUCUGAUACAUGACUGUUACAGGUAUCUUAGAGAAAGAUGCUAUUUUAUACUUAAGUCCCGAUGAGAGAAGGAAUUAUAGAUAUUCAUAUCAAGCCAACCCCUGAUAAGUGGUCCAAGAACCACAACAGAAGGUAACUCCAGAUUUCAGGGUAGCAGUGAUUGCUUUAUUCAGCCUCAUGCACAACAAAAGAAAAAUUACCUUGUAAAGUUAACGUGUAUAUUGCAAAAGAAUUUCGUACUUUGAUAUGACAUGUAGUCCUUCCUCUUUAAAGCAUCUCUAACUACCUCAUAGGAAAAAAACGACAUUUCUCUCUUUCCUUGUAUAUAUGAUCCUUUCUUGGCCUUAAGGGCCUACUUUAGGAGCAAAACUGAACUAUGAUCACGUUCCAAAACUCUUUCUUAAAACUUACUAAACUGCAAAAAAAAAUUACAAUAUUUUUCUUGUAAGGAAAGAUUUGUUGUACUAUCAAUUUGUGACAGUUUUCACAAGGUAAGAGCUGGCUUAUGACAGGCAAAUUGUGAGUGUGUUUCGAUGUCUAUGAUUUGAUGUUAUAUAUUAAACUGCAGUUAUUUCCUCAGACAGUGAGGGACAGCCAUAGAAGAACGUGGUUAGUUUGUGGUUAUGGUUUAGGCAUAGGAUAUUCAAAAAACAGGAUGUACAACAGUCGCAUUGCAUGAAUGGUGUCGUAUUUCAAAUAUAAUUUUCUGUAAGACUUUCUCUUCAGGGAGGAGUUAAAGCUUAGUGAUGACUACAGGCAGACGUUUUGGCAGUCCUAACUCAUAGACAGCAUUUGUUGGAUCUAAAAAUAUGAAAAUAAGAAAAAUAGUUGUAUUUGUCAUGCUUGAGUUUGAAAUGAAAAGGAAUCCUUAUUUUUGAAUCUUACAGUUGUCUAGCUUGUGAACAUAUUUCACACAAGGAAAUGAAUUUGCAAGAGUGUUUUAAUUUUCAUUUUAUUCAUUUUCAACUUCCUGACGUAUUUCUCAGAAGAGUGAAUUAAUCAAUAAUCUUAGUGUCAAAAACACAUCAUGCAUAUAUGAGAGCAGAGAAUUUAACUUCUAGCUAAGUUAAUGGUCAUUAUUAACUUUAGAAGAUAUAUGAAUUGUAGGAUUUUUUUUUAAAUUUAUCAUUAGCAUGCCUUGAGCCUAUUUCUACGAAAAUAAGAAAUGCUAUGAAGUUCUAGAAUUUUGUUUUUUAAAGAAUAUUUGGACCUUCCCUGAUUUUGUUAGUGAAUCAAGUGAAAUUGUAAAGGAUCUAAAAUACAAUAGGUUAAAAAUAUCUGCAAUCAGGGCACACUUUCCCUUGAGUUGGCUUUCAUGUGACAAGGCUUUUGGUCAAUUUAAAUUCAAAUGGACGUAUCCUUAACAUAAUUUUUGUUCAAUAUAAAAUUAACUAUGUUGGUAAAUAAAAGCUUAAUUUGACCAAGAGAUCACUUGAGAUAUAAAUGUGAUUGAUGUCUGCCAAGCCUAUCAUGAUCUUACAGUCUUAUUCUCCUCCCAUGUUUAAUUACUGUAUCAAACAAGAUAUUUCUUCUUCGUGUUCAAUAGCUGUAGCAGAAACAGUUCACUUCUAAUUUGGAAUACAGUCUUGAAACCUGAAGUGUACGUUGUUUUUUAAUAUGGUGUAAAAGACAUUCAGAAACUGAGAGAGACAAGAAAAAUAAGUGCAUAUUUUGAUUGAUCCAAAAAGAAAAUAUUUUAUUUUAGGGAAAAGCAUAUUCUUACAGCUUAGGAAUGUCUGCCUGUUAUAUGCUUGAGAUAUAUGUAUAUAUAUAUAUUUUUACCUUAAAUCUAUCUAUAUGUGCUUUUUUUUUCUCCAAAUUCUUUCACAAAAAUAAUUUUACUAUCUGUGUUAAUAAGAAUGAUUAUUAUAAUAAAAAACAGCAAUUCAGAAUCAAAGUCAAAUAGUGAAAGACCUCUUGCACUGUUAUGUGUUUUCUCUGUUCUUUUCCUAAUUUUCAACCUCCAAGGAUGGGGUAUCCACAGCUUUUCUGGACAAGCUGUUCUAGUGCCUCAUCACCCUUGUCAAAAAUAAUUUCUUACUGAUAAGUAAUCUAAUCUAAUCGGGUUCAUGAACACCUGAGGAACCUGAAUGUCUACAUGUCUAUGUGUCCCGAUGAGAUGCAUCCUAGAAUCCUGAGGGAAUUAACUGUUGUAGUCGCAAAGGCACUCUCAAAUAUUUGAAAACUCAUAGCAAUCAGGUGAAGUUCCUGAUGACUGGAAAAAAGGCAACAACACAGCCAUUUUUAUGAUGGAUAAAAAGAAUGACUCCGCGAACUACCAACUUGUCAGUCUCACCUCUGUGCCAGAAAAGAUCAUGGAGCAUAUCUUCCUGGAAGCUAUGCUAAGGCAGAUGGAAGGCAGGGAGGUGAUACGGUAGAACAGGCAUGGCUUCACCAAGGGCAAACCCUGCUUGAUCAGCCUUGUGGAUUUCUGUGAUGAAAUAACUGCAUCCAUGGACAAGGGAAGAGCCACUGAUGUCAUUUAUGUGGACUUCAGUAAGGCAUUUGACACAGUACCUCACAACAUCCUUCUUUCCAAAAUGGAAACAUAUGGAUUUGACACAUUAACUCUUUGAUAGACAAAGAACUUGUUGCAGAAUUGAAUCCAGAGAGCUGGACUAGAUGACCUCUAAAGGUCUCUUCCAACCCUGAGGAUUCUAUGAUUCUAUGAAACCUACCCUUUUCAGUUUAAAACAGUUACCCCUUGUCCUGCACACCCUUAUAAAAUGUACAUCUUUCCUGUAUGCUCCCUUUUAAUACUGGAAAACAGCUGUAGGUUCCAUUGAAGCCCAGCCCUCUGUAAGCUGAAUAGCUCCAACUUUUUUCAGCUUUUCUUCAGAGGAGAGGUGCUUCAGUCCUCUACUUGUGGCCCUCCUCUCGACCUGUUCCAAUAAAUCUAUGGAUUGCUUCUGCUGAGGCCUUCAGUGCUGGAUGCAGUGCUCCUGGAACUAAGAAUAAAUACAUGAAUGUGUAGAUCCUCUUUGCCAUAGUGGGGGAAACUUGAACUCUCUAACCUGAAUCAUUUGUUUUUUUCAAAUUAGUUUUUAAUGCUUGGGAAUAUUUCCAGGCAGUUUAGUUACACUUUCUAUAUGAAAAGUUGAUGAAGUAAAUUGUUUAUGGGGAGAAGAAAAGGCAGCUGCUUUAUGAAAGAUUUUUAUUUUUAUGUGUUUUCCUUUUCUUUCAAAUGUAUAACAUGCUUGCAUUAUUGUGUGAUGCUGAAAUUUGUAUUGUAUGCAUUUUUUUGAAAAGCGCUUUAUGUAUGUAGUAAAAAUUAUCUGUUUUAGAGAAGUGUGACUGUAUGAAUGACAUUAGAUUUGCUACUCCUCAAGAGAGAUAGCAUUUCUCAGCAAGAUUGGUCUGUAGUCUUUGUUGACAUCCUAAUGUUGCUGAAGGGUUAAUCUAAUCAUAUGAGCCCCUGUAACAAGGGCUAAUCUAGUUACAUGCACUUGAAUGUGUUGGUGGACCUUAGAGGUAUACUUCACUGUGCAGGUAAACCCCAAAUUCUCAUGACCUUGUGACCUCCUCCUACUCAUGCACCACAGUUUUUCUUGGGAACUUGCUCACAGAUGCAGAAACCUUAGUCUUCAGGUUGAUGACUCUGAUUUCUCGUUACCCUUUGACCUCUGGGACUUCAUGCAUUGUGAGUAUCCAUGGGAACUUGAUAGGCUAUUACCCUCAUGCACUAUUUGGACUAGAAGAUUUCUCUGAGUACUACUGAGCAGUACAACGUAUUCAAUAGUAAGUAUUGACUUGCCUUUCAAAGCAGAAUUAUGUGAUACUGAUAAGAUUGAUUAUAUCACUUCUAAUGUUGAUUCUGCAAGGUGAACUUAAGGGAAACCAUAUUUCCAAAAGUCUGGUGCUUUCUUAAACAAGAUGGCAAGACCAUCUAGAUAGCUUGCAAUUUGGAAAAAAAAAAAUGCAGCAUGAGUAAAAUACUAGGGAAGAAAAUGAUUUGUUUGCUUUCAAAUUUUUCAUUCAUGUUACUAAUAGAAUAUUAUGACAUGAGGAUUGAGCCACGCUGCACUUUCAAUAAAGUUUUGUACAGAGAUAUUACUGUCUAGGGAAUGUUUAAAUCCAGCAGUUUUAAAGAAAUAACAAGACUUUUACACAAAUUCUGUAGAAGUAUACAAUUUCCAUGUCUAUAGUGACGACAUUUUAAGAUCUGUACUUUUCACAAAGUAUUUACACACUCUAUAAUUUGUUGUAGGUUCAGUUAGUCAUAUCCAUGUCAUUGCUUAUUUUCAUUCCUGAAGCAUUCAUUAUAGACCAUGAUAUCCUUUCAACAAAACUACAGUAAGGCAAAAACGAUUUUAUAUUGGGUCAUUGACCCUGAUAUAUAGAACUGAGGCUUAACUGGUUUCCCCACUGCCACUUAUAGGAAAAAACUUUCGAGAUUUACAAUUGCUAAAUUUUUUUGUUUAUUUUGAAGCAUAUACAUUUAAAAUGCCCCUUAUCACAUGUGUGCAGUCUCACCCAGUAUAACACUAUUACUGACAGGUAUAUUUUCACAUAUGAUCUUAUUUUGGCACAUGAGUUUGAUUUAUGUAUGCAAGACAUAAAGACAAUUCUGCUUGUUGGGUUAAGCAAGGGAUUUAAAGAUUCUUUGGACCUUUAUCCUUCAGUAUUGGAGUAUCGGUCGCAACUGUUUUAUCAGUAUGGUAAACACAGAUGAGUGUUUGUGAGACAUACUUCUUUCAGAAAGAAAGUCCAGUAAUGAAAGGUGAGUAAUAUUUGAGAAUAUUGAUGGGUUUGUAAUCUGUUGCUUGUCACAAAAAGAAUGCUGAAAUUUUGACCCUUCACAAAGUAUUGUGUGAGAUACUCAUGAUAGAAAAAGCAUCUUGCACUUUAAUUUCUCCUUCAUUAGUGUUGUUUGGUUUCAUAACACAGCGGAGUUCCAUAUAGAAUCUUUCAUCUCACUUUGGAUCUUAAAUGGUUAUUAUGUUAAUGGCAUGAAGUAGAUAUCCUUUAAUGUUAUCGAUGCAUGCAGAAUAGACUCUGUCUAUUCAUGAAAACGAAGGAGAUGAAAAACACAAAUGCUUGGAAAUGUUUUUGUGAAGUAUGAAGGAGUUGCAGCCUUUUUUGUCUUGAUCUUAUUUUCUGUUUCUUAGAAGAGCAGAAACUUUCAGUUGCUGAUGUCGAGGAAUUCAGUCCAUCGUGUGCAGGACACAGUGAGAAGGUUUAUGUAACAAGAAGUUGGGAAAGUGCUCUCCAACAUCCCGCUGGGAAUGGAGCUGAGUGAGUGAAUGAAUGGCGGUGUGGUGCUGAGCUGACUACAAGGUUAAACCACAACAGUUCUGUAAUGCCAGGUCUCUUCUGUAUAUUGCCAAUAAAGAGAGGUGCUUGGGCACUUUCAGAGGAUUGUCUUUCACUGAAAAAAAAACAGAUUUUAGCCCUUCAAAACAGAUCCUUGUAUAAAUUGACACAGGAAUAAAUGUAGGUAGGUGUUAAUACACAUCUGUGCAUAUUUUCAAUAUGCAACAUCCUUCAGAGGUGCUAUCAAAAUAUGUAGUCUUUGAGCUUAGUGCUGACUAACGUGAAAGUACUCAUAUUUUCUCAGUAAUCCCUCUCAGUUGCUUUAUAUUACUCCAUAAAUACUUGCUUUCAACUUGUCCUACGCUGAAGAGCACCUUUACCUCACUGUCAGGAUGUGGCCUCUUUCUGCUGCAGAAAGGCAUGAGGAAACAUUCCUGGAAGUUUAAAAAUCUUCUUCUGUACCUGGAUGCAAAAAUCUGAAGCGAUAGAAACAGUAACAUGUCCUACCAUGACUAAUUAGCAUUGUAAAUUAUACUGUUUGAUCCUGCCUUGUCCUGCAAUCUAGAGCAAAUUAGCUUAUGUUUAUUCUUAAACCCAUAAUUUGUUUUCGCUGCCACCCUGUUACCAUUUGCCAGGGGACUUCAGACCUCAGGUGCUCCACUGUAGAUAUUUGACCUCUCAUUCUUCUGUUUGUCUGCUUUGUCCUGGCGAGACCCUUCCUUUUCUUAAUGAAGUCAGCUGAGGAGACACGAGGCCAGCUCUGGCCGGUGGUAGGCUGCAGCCUGUUUAGAGAUGCCUCAGGCCACACAGAGCAGAGGGGAAAUGCCUCAGCCUCACUGGGGAGGACAACGGUCCCUCUGCAGCCUCACUGGGCAAAAGAAUAGGAAACAGGGCAGAUGUCGUCACACCUUGCCUGGCUGGCAUUAAAACUUCAGAGUAAAAUCUGCUCGUGACGCUGGCUGUCAACAUUUGUUCUUCCCAGAUGGCAGAGGUAAAAUGCUUCCAACCUUUGAAGGGCAUUAAUAAUGUUUCAUUUCUCUCAUGUAUACUGCAUUGCAGAAUGUUUUGACCUUUAAAAAUAAGAUUAAAAAAACAAUAGGGCAAUAGCCUAGAGGACUUCUGCAAUACAUAUGUAUAUUUGUUCUGCUUUAGUUAAUGAAACAGUUGGAAAAAGAAUACAAGUAAAGGUUCAGACAGUUUGUUACCAGCUGUACACAUCAGAUCGAUUUCAUGAAAGAUAUCACCUGUAGUUAACGACUUAAACAAAGCUACAAUGCUGUACAUCCAUUUGAAAUGGAAUUUUCAUUAAUACAGGACCUAAUAAUAGGUUAGGUAAUAGAUCUGGUAUAUAAAGCACAGUCAAACAGAAAUUUAUUCUAACUACUAUGCAUAGGAAAAAAAAUA